rnacentral:rRNA from 1 species
GGAGAGUCAGUCGUACAGGUGGCAACAGAGGGGAAUUAUGCGCAAUGGGGGUAACCGGGAUGCAGCAUCGCUGCGUGGAGGAUGAAGUCCUUUGGCAUGUAAACUCCUUUGGAUAAGGACGAUAAUGGUGGUACCGAGAGAAGAAGCCCAGGCGAAGUUCGUGCCCGCAGUCGCGGUAAUAUGAGGGGGGCCAGCGUUGUUUGGAAUUAUUCGGCGUAAAGGGUGCGUUGUCGGUUUGGUAAGUUUGAUGUGAAAUAUCUGGGCUCAACUCAGAGUCUGCAUCGGAAACUGCCGGGCUUGAGUGUGGGAGAGGUGAGUGGAAUUCACGGUGUAGCAGUGAAAUGUGUAGAUAUUCGGAAGAACACCAGUGGCGAAGGCAGCCGAUUGGCCUGGUAUUGACGCUCAGGCACGAAAGGUAGGGGAGCAAACAGGAUUAGAUACCCUGGCAGUCCUAGCCAUAAACGAUGAGUGCCAGGUGUGACGGGUACCCAAACCCGCCGGGCCGUAGCUACCGCGUUAAGCAGUCCGCCUGGGGAGUACGGUCGCAAGGCUGAAAGUUAAAGGAAUUGACG